UACGGAGAGUUUGAUCCUGGCUCAGGAUGAACGCUGGCGGCGUGCCUAAUACAUGCAAGUCGAGCGAACUGAUUAGAAGCUUGCUUCUAUGACGUUAGCGGCGGACGGGUGAGUAACACGUGGGCAACCUGCCUGUAAGACUGGGAUAACUUCGGGAAACCGAAGCUAAUACCGGAUAACAUCAUUCCUUGCAUAAGGAAUGAU
rnacentral:rRNA from 1 species